AUUGAACGCUGGCGGCAGGCCUAACACAUGCAAGUCGAGCGGAUGAAGGGAGCUUGCUCCUGGAUUCAGCGGCGGACGGGUGAGUAAUGCCUAGGAAUCUGCCUGGUAGUGGGGGAUAACUUCCGGAAACGGGCGCUAAUACCGCAUACGUCCUGAGGGAGAAAGUGGGGGAUCUUCGGACCUCACGCUAUCAGAUGAUCCUAGGUCGGAUUAGCUAGUUGGUGGGGUAAAGGCCUACCAAGGCGACGAUCCGUAACUGGUCUGAGAGGAUGAUCAGGCACACUGGAACUGAGACACGGUCCAGACUCCUACGGGAGGCAGCAGUGGGGAAUAUUGAACAAUGGGCGAAAGCCUGAUCCAGCCAUGCCGCGUGUGUGAAGAAGGUCUUCGGAUUGUAAAGCACUUUAAGUUGGGAGGAAGGGCAGUAAGUUAAUACCUUGCUGUUUUGACGUUACCAAAAGAAUAAGCACCGGCUAACUUCGUG
rnacentral:rRNA from 1 species